rnacentral:rRNA from 1 species
AGUGAACGCUGGCGGUAGGCCUAACACAUGCAAGUCGAACGGCAGCACAGUAAGAGCUUGCUCUUACGGGUGGCGCGUGGCGGACGGGUGAGGAAUACAUCGGAAUCUACUUUUUCGUGGGGGGUAACGUAGGGAAACUUACGCUAAUACCGCAUACGACCUACGGGUGAAAGCAGGGGAUCUUCGGACCUUGCGCGAUUGAAUGAGCCGAUGUCGGAUUAGCUAGUUGGCGGGGUAAAGGCCCACCAAGGCGACGAUCCGUAGCUGGUCUGAGAGGAUGAUCAGCCACACUGGAACUGAGACACGGUCCAGACUCCUACGGGAGGCAGCAGUGGGGAAUAUUGGACAAUGGGCGCAAGCCUGAUCCAGCCAUACCGCGUGGGUGAAGAAGGCCUUCGGGUUGUAAAGCCCUUUUGUUGGGAAAGAAAAGCAGCAGGUUAAUACCCCGCUGUUCUGACGGUACCCAAAGAAUAAGCACCGGCUAACUUCGUG